UUUCUAUCUCUGGCACUCUCUCUCACUCUCUCUUUGUCAAAGGGGGGGAUUCUCCGUAACAAGCUGUAGCUUAAUGUGAUUCUUUCUUCUCCUGUCAUUGAUGUUCUCUUAUUUUUUUUUUUUUUUUAUCAUUUUCUGCUCUUCUGCUGCCGAUGUCACAGCUGACAGUGUUUGGAUGCUACCAAGGUGCACAAAGCGUAGAAGGAAAGGAAUAUAACUUUUAAGCUGUCAGUGUACCUUUUUCUUUGAAUCUAGACAUUUUGGGCUGGUUUAUUUGCUGUUGAGACACUAGUCAUCAAUGGAGGAUUUUCUGUUGUAGUGGAUGACUCAUUUGGGGUAUUUUCUUCCUUGGAGAUCGCUGGAUAUAGACGUUUCGUUCCUUUUGUUCCACCUGUGUGUUUCACCUCUCAGAUACCCUGUAGAAUCUGUCGGGACUUUUAUGGAGUGUGACAUUUUUGCAGUAAGUGUGAAGUUUGGAGGGGUAAAGUGAGACAAAGCAUGGCUAAUGGAACCACAUCUGAGUGUUGAAACCUUCUGUCCUGGGAGGUAGUCCAGCAUCCAGAUAUGACUACAGUGUCCAUGGAGCCUGUUGGAGUACUCCUGGAAAGGGGUGUCAAUGCCACCAACCCUCCUCUCAACACGCUUGAGGACACAGCUGCAACCUUUACCAUCGGCACCAUCCUCUCCAUCAUGUGCCUCGUUGGAGUUUCGGGGAACAUCUACACCCUGGUGGUCAUGUGCCAGUCCAUGAGGACUGCAGCCUCUAUGUACAUCUACAUCAUAAACUUAGCUUUGGCAGAUCUGCUGUAUCUUCUCACCAUACCCUUCGUAGUCUGCACACACUUCCUAAAGUUGUGGUACUUUGGGGACGCGGGGUGUCGGAUUCUGAUAAGUAUGGACUUCCUGACCAUGCAUGCCAGUAUCUUCACGCUGACUGUCAUGAGCACGGAGCGCUACUUUGCAGUGCUCAAGCCACUCGACACAGUCAAGCGAUCUAAAAGUUACCGAAAGGCCAUCGCUCUACUAGUCUGGGUUGCAUCUCUUAUCCUCACCCUACCGAUGAUCGUAAGCAUUCAGCUGAUGACAGUUGGCAACAAGGCUAUGUGUCAGCCCACCUUGUCACAGCUCUCCUACAAGGUUUACAUCUCCUUCCUGUUUUGCACCAGCAUUGUCGCCCCUGGAAUGAUCAUUGGCUAUCUCUACAUCCAGCUUGCACGCACUUAUUGGGUUUCCCAGACCGAGACCUUCAAACAGACUAAGAAACUUCCCAAUCAAAAGGUCCUGUACCUGAUCUUCACCAUUGUACUCCUCUUCUGGGCCUGCUUUCUGCCCUUCUGGAUCUGGCAGCUGCUGGGUCAGUUCUACCCCUCGCUGUCCCUGUCUACCAAAGCCAAACGCAACAUCAACUACCUGACCACGUGUCUGACGUAUUCCAACAGCUGCAUUAACCCUUUUCUGUACACGCUGCUCACCAAGAACUACAAGGAGUACCUGAGGAAGCACAAGCGGUCCUGGUCAGCUGGCAGCUACUUCAACAGGAAGAGUCGCUUCCAGCGUUCGCCGCGCAGGUCGCCAUCUUCCAGCAGUCAGCAGUGUACUGAGAGCUUUAUGCUCACACACACAGCCUCCCUGCGAGCACAUAACACCAGUUUGUAAGAUAUGACCGAGCUGUGGUGGAAGACGAAGAAAGGACAGACGGAACCUGUUGGAGACGACAGAAACAUGAGCAGAAUCGGAUCUUCUCAUCCCCCCCCCCCCCUACUGUUAAAGAGGAUGAUGAAGAUUGAAAAUACUUUUGUAUUUGCAGAUCAACGUGUGUGUGCACCAGAAGCCACGGAAGGAGACGCUGGUUGCUGCUUUUUGAGACUGUGUAAAGUAGACACAAUCAUGUCUGUCUUUAUUAGUUACUGUCAGAACCUCCUGUGGCAUAAGGAGAAAGAUGAGCAUCUUACAUGGCGAAAUGAGACUUUCAUAUUUAUGCUUUCUCAUAUGUUUACCCUCUGUGCUACUCAAGUUCCUUUUGUGAAAUACAUGUAAACAUGUAUUUGAAACUGUUAUUUCUGUUACAACAGGGUAGUGAGAUUAAGGCACCAUUAAAGAGGCAUCAGUUGCUUCAAAAAUGGGGAAAUAUCAAUAAAAUGAGUCUGAUAUUUUAAAUCCAUCACAGAUAGAAAAUGCAUGAAGGAGCUUCAGCUGCAGCAAAAGACUUCAUAGAUUUCGUAGGACAGCUUGAAUGUUUGUAAUUUAACGGCAAGGCAGUGUUCAGACAUAACAUUUUGUGAGAAAAAAAAAGCCAAAAUUCAUUUUAAUGAUACCACUAUGUGACUAUAGGGAAAAAAAAUGCAAGGUUGUUAAAGAUAAAAGACACAUUCCCAGCUGAUUACUUUGCAAUACGAACACCAUAUUUCUUCUAGUUUUCCUUAUGUUAGAUAAAAAGAAAAGAUUGUCAUUGGGCAUUGUUUUGAAUCUUAUAAUACUUCAAAUGUAUUUUAUCUGUUUCUAAAUUUUCUUUUUUAGAUUUUCUGGAUCACAUUUCAUCAUCUGAUACUUAAAGCAACUAGCAUUGCCAUUUUUUUCUUUUAAACACAGUGCUCUUUUUGGUCAGAACACCCAGUAAGUCUGGCAUUAUGUAUUUUUCUUGUUGUCAACAAAUCCCAUGAAAAGACCGAAACAAAAAAGACCCUAACCUGAAGUUAAUGGAUCCCACUAACUACGUUACCUGUGUAGCCAAAGCGUGACACAUUGUCAGAUGUGCUAUAGACCUCAGUUAUUGUCAAACGAGACUAAGGGGGCUUUCAGAUCAGGGGCCUGGGCCCGAAUCUGGGAACCCUUGAGCCAAAAGUCCAGUUUUUUAAAUAGUGUGAACACUUUGUCCACUUGAAAACACUAUAAGUCUUGAGUACUCACAAUGUGUACUUGAGCACGGUCAGCAUCAGGUAUAAAAACCACACCAAAACACGGAAGCGGACUGCUAUUUAAAGCAACUACAAGGAGUUUGUAACUGGAUAUGAAACUCUUAAUGUAUUACUUAUGUCUCAACAUAACCUACAUAAGUAAAUGAGUAUCAACUCGCUCUUACUCCAAACGUGUAAAAUACAGAGGUUUGGGCAU